AACCUGCAUUUUUCAGAAGAAAAAAAAAAGGGGGAAAACAGAAAAUAGUAGUGACGAAAUUGAUCUUUUCUCUCUUGUCUGCUCUGGAACCAGAAGGAAGAAUGAGCUCUCUUAAAUUAUUCAUAAUCUUAUCUUUCUUGCUCGGCGUUGCCGUAACCAUCGGAGCACAGCCCACUUACCUCUAUCAUAUUUGCCCAAAUACGACUACUUUCACUGCAAACAGCACUUAUCAGACCAAUCGAAAUAUCCUUCUCUCUUCUCUUUCCUCCAACACAACUGCCAAUAAAUAUAAUUUUGGGUUUUACAACGCCUCUACCGGUCGGGACCCUGACGAUAUCUAUGGUCUAUUUCUCUGCCGCGGCGAUAUUACCUCCGAUGUCUGCCAAACUUGUGUCACCU
rnacentral:misc_RNA from 1 species